rnacentral:lncRNA from 1 species
AGUGGAAAAAUGCAACAUUUUUUGUGCACCACGGACGGUAUAGAAAAUUUGAUAUAGAGUACACUAUCUUAUUCGAUUGGUCCACAUAAUCAUUAUUUUUCAAUAUAUAAUUAAUAUCUGUAAGUUGAUUUUUUCAUUUGAAAAUUUUGUAUGAUGAAAAUGCUCCCAUUCUUUGAAAAAAUUAUGGCAUUCUAUGCUCAUAUUAUAACAUUCUGCAUUCAAAAAAUCAUAAUUUUAUCUACAGGAUAUCAUAAUAUAAUA